AUACGUAGGGGACGAGCGUUGUCCGGAAUUACUGGGCGUAAAGGGCGCGCAGGCGGAUAUUUAAGUCAGCUGUAAAAGGCAUGAGCUCAACUCAUGUAUGCGGUUGAAACUGGGUAUCUAGAGUGCUGGAGAGGUAGGCGGAAUUCCCGGUGUAGCGGUGAAAUGCGUAGAUAUCGGGAAGAACACCAGUGGCGAAGGCGGCUUACUGGCCAGCAACUGACGCUGAGGCGCGAAAGCCAGGGGAGCGAACGGGAUUAGAUACCCCGGUAGUCCUGGCCGUGAACGAUGAAUGCUAGGUGUGGGUGUCGAGAGGCAUCCGUGCCGGAGUUAACGCGAUAAGCAUUCCGCCUGGGGAGUACGAUCGCAAGAUUGAAACUCAAAUGAAUUGACGGGG
rnacentral:rRNA from 1 species